rnacentral:rRNA from 1 species
CCGGGGGGGCGUGAGCUGAGGCGUGAUGACGAGGCACUACGGUGCUGAAGUGAUUGAUACCAAGCUUCCAGGAAAAAGCCACUAAGCUUCAGUCUAGAAUUGACCGUACCGCAAACCGACACAGGUGGGCAGGAUGAAAAUUCUAAGGCGCUUGAGAGAACUCAGGAGAAGGAACUCGGCAAAUUAACACCGUAACUUCGGGAGAAGGUGUGCCCCGGUAGGUUGUAGAGCCUCGCGCUCGAAGGCCGAUGGGGUUGCAGUGAAAUGGUGGCUGCGACUGUUUAUAAAAACACAGCACUCUGCAAACACGAAAGUGGACGUAUAGGGUGUGACGCCUGCCCGGUGCCGGAAGGUUAAUUGAUGGGGUGCAAGCCCUUGAUCGAAGCCCCGGUAAACGGCGGCCGUAACAAUAACGGUCCUAAGGUAGCGAAAUUCCUUGUCGGGGUAAGUUCCGACCUGCACGAAUGGCGUAACGAUGGCCACACUGUCUCCUCCUGAGACUCAGCGAAGUUGAAAUGUUUGUGAAGAUGCAAUCUCCCCGC